GACAGAGGGUGCAACCGUUGCUCGGAAUCACUGGGCGUAAAGGGCGUGUAGGCGGGAAGGAAAGUCAGAUGUGAAAUCCCUGGGCUCAACCCAGGAACUGCAUUUGAAACUCCCUUUCUUGAGUGUCGGAGAGGAAAGCGGAAUUCCUGGUGUAGAGGUGAAAUUCGUAGAUAUCAGGAGGAACACCGGUGGCGAAGGCGGCUUUCUGGACGACAACUGACGCUGAGACGCGAAAGCUAGGGUAGCAAACGGG
rnacentral:rRNA from 1 species